rnacentral:rRNA from 1 species
UACAGAGGAUGCAAGCGUUAUCCGGAAUGAUUGGGCGUAAAGCGUCUGUAGGCGGCUUUUUAAGUCCGACGUGAAAUCCCAGGGCUCAACUCUGGACAGGCGGUGGAAACUACCAAGCUGGAGUACGGUAGGGGCAGAGGGAAUUUCCGGUGGAGCGGUGAAAUGCGUAGAGAUCGGAAAGAACACCGGUGGCGAAGGCGCUCUGCUAGGCCGUAACUGACACUGAGGGACGAAAGCGAGGGGAGCGAAUGGG